rnacentral:rRNA from 1 species
CCUUUAGACGUGGAUAACAAUUGGAAACAGUUGCUAAGACAGGAUAGGAAAUUAAGAGGCAUCUUUUAAUUUUUAAAAGACCUUUUUCGNAAGGUAUGCUUAAAGAGGGGCUUGCGCCACAUUAGUUAGUUGGUAAGGUAAAGGCUUACCAAGACGAUGAUGUGUAGCUGGACUGAGAGGUUGAACAGCCACAUUGGGACUGAGACACGGCCCAAACUCCUACGGGAGGCAGCAGUAAGGAAUUUUUGGCAAUGGAGGAAACUCUGACCGAGCGACGCCGCGUGAACAAUGAAGUACUUCGGUAUGUAAAGUUCUUUUAUUGAAAAAGAAAAAAUAGUGGAAAAACUAUCUUGACAUUAUUCAAUGAAUAAGCCCCGGCUAAUUAUGUGCCAGCAGCCGCGGUAAUACAUAAGGGGCGAGCGUUAUCCGGAAUUAUUGGGCGUAAAGGGUGCGUAGGCGGUUUGAUAAGUCUAUAGUUUAAAUGCAGCGCUUAACGCUGUAGCGCUAUAGAAACUGUCUGACUAGAGUUAGAUAGAGGCAAGCGGAAUUCCAUGUGUAGCGGUAAAAUGCGUAAAUAUAUGGAGGAACACCAGAGGCGUAGGCGGCUUGCUGGGUCUUAACUGACGCUGAGGCACGAAAGCGUGGGGAGCAAACAGGAUUAGAUACCCUGGUAGUCCACGCCGUAAACGAUGAGUACUAAGUGUCGGGUUUCGGCUCGGUACUGAAGUUAACACAUUAAGUACUCCGCCUGAGUAGUACGUACGCAAGUAUGAAACUUAAAGGAAUUGACGGGACCCCGCACAAGCGGUGGAUCAUGUUGUUUAAUUCGAAGAUACACGAAAAACCUUACCAGGUCUUGACAUAAUUUUGCGACAUUAUAGAAAUAUAAUGAAGGUUAUCAGAAUUACAGGUGGUGCAUGGUUGUCGUCAGCUCGUGUCGUGAGAUGUUAGGUUAAGUCCUAAAACGAGCGCAACCCUUGUCGUUAGUUGCGACCACGUAAUGGUGAGCACUUUAGCGAGACUGCCAAUGAAAAAUUGGAGGAAGGUGAGGAUUACGUCAAAUCAUCAUGCCCCUUAUGAUCUGGGCUACAAACGUGAUACAAUGGCUGUUACAAAGAGUAGCUACAACGUGAGUUUUUAGCCAAUCUCAAAAAAACAGUCUCAGUUCGGAUUGAAGUCUGCAACUCGACUUCAUGAAGUUGGAAUCGCUAGUAAUCGCGAAUCAGCAUGUCGCGGUGAAUACGUUCUCGGGGUUUGUACACACCGCCCGUCAAACCACGAAAGUUGAUAAUACCCGAAAGCGGUCACCUAACUUCGUCAGAAGAGGGAGCCGUCUAAGGUAGGAUCGAUGAUUGGGGUUAAGUCGUAACAAGGUAUCCCUACCGGAAGGUGGGGAUGGAUCACCUCCUUUCU